GACAUCUUAGUUAUUUUUUACAAGGUAUUUUGUAGACAAUUACUAAUUUACAUAUUUUACUAUAAUAAAUAUUCUUCAAUAUUUUCUUUGAUAUAUUUUUUAAAUUAUCUUUCUCAACACAGUAAAUCAAAUAAUUGUAUCAAGGGAAGCUGAUUUCUCUUAUUUCAGAUGUUUUUAAUCUCUUUUUAAAGAAAUGGAUAACUCAGACCACCUUCUUGCAUAAGGAAGUUCUUGCUUAUGUUUAAUAUUAAAUUAAUUUUUUCUUAGUUUUGUCCUUUUAGACAGUUUUGUUGUGGUAUUUUCAGCAAUGAAGGGUUCGAUUCCUAUGGAGGAAAUACUCUUAUGUUUUAAAAGAGUUUUGCUUUGCUUCAGGGUGGUUGAAGUGGAUUGAGAAAAAUCUCUGGUUUUGACUAUAGCUCUGUGCUGUCCAUUGCUCAGAUGCCGGUUCCAGGGAGAAAGGGUGGAUCAAGAUCAAGAGAAGAUGUGAUAAGUCCAAAGUAGGUAUUUUAUUUAUUUGUUGUCUCCAUUCUUUUUUGUUUGUUUGUUAAUCCUCACCAAGAAUAUUUUUCCCAUUGAUUUUUAGGGAGAGUGGAAGAGAA